GAUGAACGCUGGCGGCGUGCCUAAUACAUGCAAGUCGAGCGAAUGGAUUAAGAGCUUGCUCUUAUGAAGUUAGCGGCGGACGGGUGGGUAACACGUGGGUAACCUGCCCAUAAGACUGGGAUAACUCCGGGAAACCGGGGCUAAUACCGGAUAACAUUUUGAACCGCAUGGUUCGAAAUUGAAAGGCGGCUUCGGCUGUCACUUAUGGAUGGACCCGUGUCGCAUUAGCUAGUUGGUGAGGUAACGGCUCACCAAGGCAACGAUGCGUCGCCGACCUGAGAGGGUGAUCGGCCACACUGGGACUGAGACACGGCCCAGACUCCUACGGGAGGCAGCAGUAGGGAAUCUUCCGCAAUGGACGAAAGUCUGACGGAGCAACGCCGCGUGAGUGAUGAAGGCUUUCGGGUCGUAAAACUCUGUUGUUAGGGAAGAACAAGUGCUAGUUGAAUAAGCUGGCACCUUGACGGUACCUAACCAGAAAGCCACGGCUAACUACGUGCCAGCCGCCGCGGUAA
rnacentral:rRNA from 1 species